rnacentral:rRNA from 1 species
CCUACGGGAGGCAGCAGUGAGGAAUAUUGGUCAAUGGGCGGAAGCCUGAACCAGCCAAGUAGCGUGCAGGAUGACGGCCCUACGGGUUGUAAACUGCUUUUAUACGGGAAUAACGCGCCUUACGUGUAGGGCUUUGCAUGUACCGUUUGAAUAAGGCCAGGCUAAUUCCGUGUCAGCAGCCGCGGUAAUACGGAAGGGCCGGGCGUUAUCCGGAUUUAUUGGGUUUAAAGGGAGCGUAGGCCGCAUGUCAAGCGUGCUGUGAAAUGUCCGGGCUCAACCCGGGGCUUGCAGGGCAAACUGGCGUGCUGGAGUCCAGGGAAGGCAGGCGGAAGUCGUCGUGUAGCGGUGAAAUGCUUAGAUAUGACGAAGAACCCCGAUUGCGAAGGCAGCCUGCUGCAGCGGAACUGACGCUGAUGCUCGAAAGCGCGGGUAUCGAACAGGAUUAGAUACCCGGGUAGUC